UUUAGAGUUAAAUGGUGGGAUUUAGGAUUUAGGAUUUAGGGUUUAGGGUUUAGAGUUUAGGGUUUAGGGUUUAGAGUUUAGGGUUUAGGUUUUAGGGUUUAGGAUUUAGGGUUUAGAGUUUAGGGUUUAGGGUUUAGAGUGUAGGGUUUAGAGUUUAGAGUUUAGGGUUUAGGGUUUAGAGUUGAGAAAUGAGGUUUUGGGGAUAAGAUUUCAAAUUUUGAAAAAUAAAAAAAUUUAAAUUUUCAAAGGUUAAACUUAGAAAGGUGCUAUUUUGGUCAUUUUAGUUUUU
rnacentral:lncRNA from 1 species